rnacentral:rRNA from 1 species
GUUGUAUGGUUAAGUGACUAAGCGUACACGGUGGAUGCCUUGGCAGUCAGAGGCGAUGAAAGACGUAGUAACUUGCGAUAAGCCCAGAUUAGGUAGUAACAACCAUUUGAGUCUGGGAUUUCUGAAUGGGGAAACCCACUUACAUAAGUAAGUAUCCUUACCUGAAUACAUAGGGUAAGGAGGCGAACCGGGGGAACUGAAACAUCUAAGUACCCCGAGGAAAAGAAAUCAACCGAGAUUCCGAAAGUAGCGGCGAGCGAAAUUGGACUAGCCCUUAAGCUUUACACGCGUUAGACGAACGGUCUGGAAAGUCCGACGAUACAGGGUGAUAGUCCCGUAG